CUGUCAGCCAAGAAAAGAGCCCAGGCCUACAGACUUUAAGGGUUGAAAAUAGCAGGCUGCGAGCAAGGAAGACUUGGAAUAAAAGUUGGUAGAACGAUCCGUCACAUUGACAGGGAUAUUCCUUUUGGUCCCUGCUGCUCAGCCCUGGCAGUUCAUCUUUUCCCUGACACGGGGAAGGCAGGGGUUGAGCUGAGGGGAAGGGGAGUUGAGAAGACAAGAGCAAGGACAAUGCACUUUUUCAAAGAGCCUGGAUUUAUGGAAGAGUAGAUUAAAGGUAGUCAAAGGCCAGACCGAGAAGCUGUCUACGUUGAUUUAACAAAGCAAGGGAA